rnacentral:misc_RNA from 1 species
GAUGAAGAACGCAGCGAAAUGCGAUAAGAAAUGUGAAUUGCAGAAUUCAGUGAAUCAUCGAAUCUUUGAACGCACAUUGCGCCCGUCAGUAUUCUGGCGGGCAUGCCUGUUCGAGCGUCAUUACGCCCCUCAAGUCCCCUGUGGACUUGGUGUUGGGGAUCGGCGAGGCUGGUUUUCCAGCACAGCCGUCCCUUAAAUUAAUUGGCGGUCUCGCCGUGGCCCUCCUCUGCGCAGUAGUAAAACACUCGCAACAGGAGCCCGGCGCGGUCCACUGCCGUAAAACCCCCCAACUUUUUAUAGUUGACCUCGAAUCAGGUAGGACUACCCGCUGAACUUAAGCAUAUCAAUAAGCGGAGGA